rnacentral:lncRNA from 1 species
UUCCAUCGUCCCACCUGCUCCAUCAUCCUUAGCCCAUUACUCUUAUUAUGCCAAUUACCGGUUGUUGCCUGCAUCGCCACUUUCGUCCGAGCCUUUUCAUGUCCCUGUUUUUCUCCUGGCCUCACCUACGCUCAACGUCGCUUUAGCACCGUACCAGGACACCUUCCAUCGUCCGGCUUCCAGCCCUGUUUUGCUGCACCAGGCCGCUUGUCGCUAACCCAGCUCCCUAGCCUUUGCA